UACGUAGGUGGCAAGCGAUACUCGGAAUCACUGGGCGUAAAGCGCAGGUAGGCGGUUUGGUAAGUCUGUUGUGAAAGCUCCCGGCUUAACUGGGAGAGGUCAACGGAAACUACCAGGCUAGAGUGCGGUAGAGGUAGCUGGAAUUCCCGGUGUAGCGGUGAAAUGCGUAGAUAUCGGGAGGAAUACCUAUGGCGAAAGCAGGCUACUGGACCGUCACUGACGCUGAUCUGCGAAAGCUAGGGGAGCAAACAGG
rnacentral:rRNA from 1 species